rnacentral:rRNA from 1 species
UACGUAGGGGGCGAGCGUUAAUCGGAAUUACUGGGCGUAAAGCGUGCGCAGGCGGUUCGUUGUGUCGGUGGUGAAAUCCCCGGGCUUAACCUGGGAAUGGCCAUGGAAACUGGCGAACUGGAGUGCGGCAGAGGGGGGUGGAAUUCCGCGUGUAGCAGUGAAAUGCGCAGAUAUCAGGAGGAACACCAAUGGCGAAGGCAGCACUCUGGGACGUGACUGACGCUGAGACGCGAAAGCGUGGGGAGCAAACAGG